UACGAAGGGGGCUAGCGUUGCUCGGAAUCACUGGGCGUAAAGCGCACGUAGGCGGUUUCUUAAGUCAGGGGUGAAAUCCUGGAGCUCAACUCCAGAACUGCCUUUGAUACUGGGAGACUUUGAGUCCGGGAGAGGUGAGUGGAACUGCGAGUGUAGAGGUGAAAUUCGUAGAUAUUCGCAAGAACACCAGUGGCGAAGGCGGCUCACUGGCCCGGUACUGACGCUGAGGUGCGAAAGCGUGGGGAGCAAACAGG
rnacentral:rRNA from 1 species